UACGUAGGCAGCAAGCGUUGUUCGGAGUUACUGGGCGUAAAGGGUGUGUAGGCGGUUGUUUUAAGUUUGGUGUGAAAUCUCCCGGCUCAACUGGGAGGGUGCGCCGAAUACUGAAUGACUAGAGUGCGGGAGAGGUGAGUGGAAUUCCUGGUGUAGCGGUGAAAUGCGUAGAUAUCAGGAGGAACACCGGUGGUGUAGACGGCUCACUGGACCGUAACUGACGCUGAAACACGAAAGCGUGGGUAGCAAACAGG
rnacentral:rRNA from 1 species